rnacentral:rRNA from 1 species
GACGAACGCUGGCGGCGUGCUUAACACAUGCAAGUCGAACGGAAAGGCCCUGCUUUUGUGGGGUGCUCGAGUGGCGAACGGGUGAGUAACACGUGAGUAACCUGCCCUUGACUUUGGGAUAACUUCAGGAAACUGGGGCUAAUACCGGAUAGGAGCUCCUGCUGCAUGGUGGGGGUUGGAAAGUUUCGGCGGUUGGGGAUGGACUCGCGGCUUAUCAGCUUGUUGGUGGGGUAGUGGCUUACCAAGGCUUUGACGGGUCGCCGGCCUGAGAGGGUGACCGGCCACAUUGGGACUGAGAUACGGCCCAGACUCCUACGGGAGGCAGCAGUGGGGAAUAUUGCACAAUGGGCGGAAGCCUGAUGCAGCAACGCCGCGUGCGGGAUGACGGCCUUCGGGCUGUAAACCGCUUUCGCCUGUGACGAAGCGUGAGUGACGGUAAUGGGUAAAGAAGCACCGGCUAACUACGUG